rnacentral:rRNA from 1 species
AUUGAACGCUGGCGGCAUGCCUUACACAUGCAAGUCGAACGGUAACAGGUCUUCGGAUGCUGACGAGUGGCGAACGGGUGAGUAAUACAUCGGAACGUGCCCAGUCGUGGGGGAUAACGAAGCGAAAGCUUUGCUAAUACCGCAUACGAUCUACGGAUGAAAGCGGGGGAUCGCAAGACCUCGCGCGAUUGGAGCGGCCGAUGGCAGAUUAGGUAGUGGGUGGGGUAAAGGCUUACCAAGCCUACGAUCUGUAGCUGGUCUGAGAGGACGACCAGCCACACUGGGACUGAGACACGGCCCAGACUCCUACGGGAGGCGGCAGUGGGGAAUUUUGGACAAUGGGCGCAAGCCUGAUCCAGCAAUGCCGCGUGCAGGAUGAAGGCCUUCGGGUUGUAAACUGCUUUUGUACGGAACGAAAAGCUCUGGGUGAAUACCCUGGGGUCAUGACGGUACCGUAAGAAUAAGCACCGGCUAACUACGUGCCAGCCGCCGCGGUAA